CUACGGGGGGCUCCAGUGGGGAAUAUUGGACAAUGGGCGAAAGCCUGAUCCAGCAAUGCCGCGUGAGUGAUGAAGGCCUUAGGGUUGUAAAGCUCUUUUACCAGGGAUGAUAAUGACAGUACCUGGAGAAUAAGCUCCGGCUAACUCCGUGCCAGCAGCCGCGGUAAUACGGAGGGAGCUAGCGUUGUUCGGAAUUACUGGGCGUAAAGCGCGCGUAGGCGGCUUAUCAAGUCAAGGGUGAAAUCCCGGGGCUCAACCCCGGAACUGCCCUUGAAACUGGUUGGCUAGAAUCUUGGAGAGGCGAGUGGAAUUCCGAGUGUAGAGGUGAAAUUCGUAGAUAUUCGGAAGAACACCAGUGGCGAAGGCGACUCGCUGGACAAGUAUUGACGCUGAGGUGCGAAAGCGUGGGGAGCAAACAGGAUUAGAUACCCCUGUAGUC
rnacentral:rRNA from 1 species